CAUUCCAGGAGUUAAUUCCUUAGCUCACUAAGCUAGGCAGAAAGGGAGGCCCAACACCAUCUGCCCAAUCCACCCUCUGCUAGAGGAGGACUGCGAGUACUGAGCUGGGCCAGGACUGCUGGAAGGCGCAGGUAGGAGUCUGCAGAAAAGAUACUCCAAGAAGAAAUACCAAUAUGAACACUUCACUAGAAGCCUGAAGAUGAGAGAGAAGACUAUACUUAUUAUGACUAGAAACAUUUUUCUGCAAUCUAGUUGCAGAUGUAAUUGUCACCCUAGGUUUGGAAAAAUUCUCAGCAGCCUAUGAAAUCUGAAGAACCAGAUGAUGGUAUGAAUUUUCAGAAGUAUUAAAUGGUCAACCCUCA
rnacentral:sRNA from 1 species